ACUUAAUGUUUUAUGAUAGAAACCUCAUUGUGUCAUUCGUUGUUCAAAUAGAGACAUUCAAACUUAAGAUUGUGUCCGAGAAUGGAAACGAACAGAGGAGAACAUCCUGUUCUUAAUUUUUUUUAUUACCGCGUUAUCUUCAACGUGCCACAGUUAUGAGACCUAGGGGGGACAAUGCUGCAUUUUAAAAAUAAGCUUAGAAAAGGAUAAAAAUGAAUGUGAAAAAGAUAGGUCGAAUUGUCUCUCAGCCUUUAAGAGUUGAUUAAACUGUGUUGACUUUGUCUUAUCUUUCACUGAAGCUUGGCUCAAACGGGGAAAUGGCCUGGCAGGCUGCCAGGUUGGGAUGUUGACUUUAUAAUGUAGCCUGUCCUAACCUGUUUGAAGGACAGGUUGAGGUGUUGUUGCUUAAGUUUCUGCUUAAGUUGCUGCACAUACCUGCAUGUAUGACACACCUGUUUUAACUUGUGCGGUACAUGUAGUCUUACACUGACCUGAACCACUGCAUGAUGUCAACUGUCAGGUCCUUCAAAGAAAAAAGAUCAUCUCUAAGGCACAAGAGAAACCUUUCAUCUGAUCGAUACAUGGAUUUCAGGAUGGAGAGGGAGGAGGAGGACAGCAUCGGGGCAGAUGAUUGGACCCAGGCAUCAAACAGAGGAAAGGGGCCUGGUCGAGUCUCCCUAUGUGCCAGAAGUUUGCUGGAGUUGGGAUCUAAACAUCAUUGAGUGACGGCACAUUCAUCAUCAUGUAUCUUUAAUCAUGAAACAUUUAAAAUAAUGAAUGAUUUUUUUUAAAUCUUUCUGUUCAAGCUGUUUAUACCAGAUGACACGCUGGCUGGCUUCUACCUUUAACAUCAGAUGCAACAACUGUUUUGUUGUUGUUGUGUUUUGAUUAAUGUGAAAGAAAAGCAUUUAUUGGAUCUUGUUACAUUUAUGUACAAACUUUUCAGUCUGCAUUUACAAACUGUCUGUCUUGGGUGAACCUCACUGCAUUUGUGUUUGGGAAUUUUGAGACUCCCCUGUCGUGAUUCAAAUUCACAAAUACAUUUUUUUCAGCAGAGAAAUGUCUGCAGCCAAUCAGAUGUCUCCUUCCUAUUAGUGCUGGGCGAUAUAUCGUGAAGCUCGAUUCGAUCGAUAUUUAAUUAAUGCUUGAUAUGGAAAAGGGAACAUCGAUUUUAUUUUUAAACUACUUCCAAGUUUUCUUUCUUGCUUCUUUUGUCGAAGAUUUCGUUGCUCCGUGAGAUUUCCGCAGCAGCGCUUGUUGCGCGGAGACUUCACUCCUGCCGCUGAGUAGCCCAGCUCUUAAAAGCGACCAACACGGAGGAGAAAGAUGCGAGCGAGGCCGAAUUACUUCCAAAAAAAGGCUCAUAACGCAGGGCCGACAUUAUAAUUGGCCCGCUGGCCCGGAUGAAUGAUUGACAGAGUCCAGCUGAUUGCACGUUCAGCUGGCGGCUUCACUGCGUUUGGUAAAACGGUUUUAAAACCAUCAGAUCCCGACAAAAGCCGAGUUUAAAUCAGCAUUCAAGGAAUAAAAAUCACCGGAAAAGUCGAGAGUGACAGCAGGGCGAAAACAGAACGGAGAAAAGUUAGAUCCACAGUGACAGACAGCUGGAGGAGCUGGAACACGUUAAAGUUGAAGACUAGAUCCUGGUAAAGAUCAAAGUUAUUCACAAAGCACCUUAGCCCUGAAGAGAGCUCCUAAAGAUCUAAAGAUGAAGAGUUUCUCACAGAGAAGAAAGAAGGAGAGAUUCCAGAUCUAUCACAGCCUCAUAUUAAUAUCAGAUUAAGUAGACUCUUACAGCAUGGUGAAUAAACAUGAGCACAUAGAUAUAAGAAAAAUACAAGUUUAAAUAUUUGAUAAAAGUUGUUAUUGACUUUUGCAUCAGAAUGGUUCAGGAGUAAAUCGGUGACUGUUAUUUUUCUAAUCAAAGGUAAUGUUCCUGAGCCAGUGAUCACAGUGGUCAGGUCAGUGAUAUUUUCUUUUUAUACAGUGGAGAUUCAGUUUUAUAGACUACAUUUAUAAACUUUAAUACGAUAAAUAUGGAAUAUCGACAUUAGGCAAAAAAAUAUUGUGAUAUCAAAUUUAGGCCAUAUCGCCCAGCACUACUUCCUAUUCAGCCAAUCAAGACAUACCCACCUUUAUUUCAAUAGAGGAACGAUAAACCACUUUAAACCGUUUUUUUCAAACAAUGCUAAACUUGAGAGGAUACUUUUCAAGGCGGCUUCAGGUAUAAAUGUUAAUCAAAUAUUUUGGCGAUGUAAUCUCUCCUUUUGUAUAAAGGUAUAUACACCUGUAGGAGCCAUCAUAUGUAUGUUUUAUCUCUGCUUUGCUCCUAAUAGGUCAUUUGCAGUGGGGUGGUCUUACCUUGUAAUUAUAUAAAUAAGAUGUGUGGUGAGAGAGUUUGAAUAUUUUCUGUUGACCGUCACCUCUUUUGUUUAAUAAAUCAACAAUACCAUCUGUUAAGCCAA